rnacentral:misc_RNA from 1 species
GGGAAGGAAAGAAGAGGGGAAAGGAAAGGGAAGGAGGGGGUAUUCCAAAGAGUAAGCGAGUGUGAGGGUUGUUCCAAUAAAAUCGUUUUUUUAAAAAACGGAUCUGAGUUUUCCAAGGUGUAAUGAUUUUGGUAACAUUAAAUUCAUCUUAACGAUAUCUUUGGUAUGAUAUUGGAAAUGGUUAUAUUCUUACUACUCGUGAGUUUCAUUAACAAUCGGUUACCUGUCGUUAGGUCGUAUCAGUGGCCCAAUCCUUUUGAUUGGAGCGCAUGAUACAAUUUUCUUUCAGAACCUCAAGUCA